CAAAUACGCGGAACAGCUCAUUCUUCUACUAUUAUUUGAGUUCUUUGCUAUGCUGCGACAUAUAAAAAUACGGAAGUAGUUAUAAUAGUAUUGUGGAAAGAACGCAAUUGUUUUGUUUGUCAGUUUCGCUGUAUUUUUGAAGACAAUUUUAACCGACAAAAUCAAUAAAACAUAUAUUUAUAUCAUUUAAGACAGACAGGAAAAUAAGGACGGCGUAAAUAUGUGUUCAACGAGGAACAUUUUACUCCUGGUGGCAGUGCUAGGCACAUUCGUGACUUUAUUAUUAGCAACAGAAGAACCGACAUCAGCAGUGCCAGCAACGACUCCUCCUGAGCCAACAUGUAAGGAAAUGGAAGAUUGUGAAAGCUGUCUCAGUAUAUCCGGAGCGAAAUGUUAUUAUUGUUCAACCGGUAAUGUAUGUGCUGAUUAUCCAGUUGGUGAUAUAUUUCCAAACAAGGAUUGUCCAUUGAAGAAUGCAAGAUGGGGAACAUGUAAAAUAAAUUUCCAAGCGUUAUUGAUCAGUAUGGGUGUGAUAGCAGGAAUUCUCAUCAUUGCAGUUACUUACUGUGUCUGCAGGUGCUGCUGUUGUAAGAAUAACAGCAGGGCAAAAUGGGCUAAAGAAGAUGCUAAGGUAGAGCGUCAAAAACAAGAAAGACAGAUGCGCCAUGAUCAAAAGAAAGCAGACAGAAAGGCCAGAAAUGAUGAGAUUAGACGGAAAUAUGGUCUUUUGCGUGAUGGCGAUUGCAGUGACUGAUGAACUUCGACCUGAUUCCUCGUCACUUCUCUCUUCUAUAGUUCUUGCUCCUGUUAUAAUCACAGUCGGGAAUGUGUUUUACGGUAUCUUUGCUUGACAACUGAUGAUGAUGGGCAGUAUCACCGUCUUGAAGAUGUUUGAGAACCCAUAUUCUGUUCUUCCCUUCCUCCCCUUCUGCACAUAAUAUGUAGCAUGUUCUUAACCUAGACUGCAUCUGCAAUAGAAAUUCUUUACACCAGUUAACAUUCUAAUAACUUAAUGUAUAUUUAAAUGUUGGAAAUUGUUAACAUAUUUUUUAAACAAAGCACUAAUAAACAGCACAGUUUUGAGUUGUAAAAUUAGUUAAUAAGUUAAUAUUGUACAUAUUAACUUAUUAAGCACCAGUUUCAUUGAUUUUCAUCAAAAAAUAUCAAUAUUAAUUUGUAUUAAAGUCUUAAAAUAUGUUUCAUAUUAUUGUUACUUUUGAAAAAUAUAAUUAAAAACAAGUAUUUUACUUAAGUGCAGAUGCAGUUUUGAAUAAGUAAUAUAUUUCUCCACCUUUCUCAAAUGCAAACUUUUUGCAUUCAAAUUGAUAUUUUUUAUUUCUACUCAGCUAGUAUAUUUCUAUGGCUGCCGCAAGUAUAAAGGCCCAGCCAAAGUGCCAAUUUCAAAAAGAUGACAAGAAUUGAGAAUUUAAGAUUUAAGAUCAAGUAAUUUACUUCAAAACCAUAAAGAUAUGAAUAUAAUUUUACUGAAGUCCUUUGUCUAACUAAUUGAUUUUUUGUUGUUGUUAUUGAUAUUAUAGUUUUGUAUAAGAAGGUAAUUCUUUAAACAUAGUGAAUUCUCAAGACAAUCUAAAUUACAUAAAAUUUUGAAAGAUUAAUAAAAGCAUAGUGAUAUUAAAUGAAUAUCUAUGUUAACAUGUUAAAAAUAAUAGUAGACGGAAGUCGUGUUAAGCCAUACUAUAAAAAACACUUGACCAUCCUCACUUGCAUCUUUCUAUUUAGCCCUGAUGGAAUUAUUUUAAAUUUUUUAAUCUAUUUUUUUUAAUCUAGCACUCUGGUCCCAACACUUAACAUAGUGUUCAAGUGUAAAAUGCUUUUGUUUUAGCUGCUAUUACUAUUUUUAAUAUUAAGAAGUCAUCAGUCACUCAGCCAUUAUUUCGUAGUCGGUUUUCAUGUUAAAGAAAACAAUGACAUAAAAAGGACCUCCACUUUCCUUUUAGAAGACUCUACAUAAUCAACUGUUUUUUAUAUGGCAUUAGUCAGGUAAAAAUAUUACUAAAUUGAUGGUAGCACUUUUAAAUUACUUCUUACACAAGCUUUCGCCAGCCGUCUGUGGUUGGGGGGGGGGGUUUGUUGAGCGUGCAACUGAUGAAAUCUUCUGUAAAGCUCUGUCUAGAUUAUAAAAUUUUAUUUUACAAAAAAACUGUUGUAUACUGUAUAUAGACAUGAUGUGCCUAUAUAUAUUUAGGCAUAUCACAUGUUUUUGUCAAAUGAAAUUUGAUAGUCUUGGCAGGUCUUAAAGAUG